rnacentral:rRNA from 1 species
GGGAUAGCGCUGGAACGGCGUCUAAUACUGGAUAUGAGCCCCUAUCGCAUGGUGGGGGUUGGAAAGAUUUUUUGGUCUGGGAUGGGCUCGCGGCCUAUCAGCUUGUUGGUGAGGUAAUGGCUCACCAAGGCGUCGACGGGUAGCCGGCCUGAGAGGGUGACCGGCCACACUGGGACUGAGACACGGCCCAGACUCCUACGGGAGGCAGCAGUGGGGAAUAUUGCACAAUGGGCGAAAGCCUGAUGCAGCAACGCCGCGUGAGGGAUGACGGCCUUCGGGUUGUAAACCUCUUUUAGCAGGGAAGAAGCGAAAGUGACGGUACCUGCAGAAAAAGCGCCGGCUAACUACGUGCCAGCAGCCGCGGUAAUACGUAGGGCGCAAGCGUUAUCCGGAAUUAUUGGGCGUAAAGAGCUCGUAGGCGGUUUGUCGCGUCUGCUGUGAAAUCCCGAGGCUCAACCUCGGGCCUGCAGUGGGUACGGGCAGACUAGAGUGCGGUAGGGGAGAUUGGAAUUCCUGGUGUAGCGGUGGAAUGCGCAGAUAUCAGGAGGAACACCGAUGGCGAAGGCAGAUCUCUGGGCCGUAACUGACGCUGAGGAGCGAAAGGGUGGGGAGCAAACAGGCUUAGAUACCCUGGUAGUCCACCCCGUAAACGUUGGGAACUAGUUGUGGGGACCAUUCCACGGUUUCCGUGACGCANCUAACGCAUUAAGUUCCCCGCCUGGGGAGUACGGCCGCAAGGCUAAAACUCAAAGGAAUUUGACGGGGACCCGCACAAGCGGCGGAGCAUGCGGAUUAAUUCGAUGCAACGCGAAGAACCUUACCAAGGCUUGACAUAUACGAGAACGGGCCAGAAAUGGUCAACUCUUUGGACACUCGUAAACAGGUGGUGCAUGGUUGUCGUCAGCUCGUGUCGUGAGAUGUUGGGUUAAGUCCCGCAACGAGCGCAACCCUCGUUCUAUGUUGCCAGCACGUAAUGGUGGGAACUCAUGGGAUACUGCCGGGGUCAACUCGGAGGAAGGUGGGGAUGACGUCAAAUCAUCAUGCCCCUUAUGUCUUGGGCUUCACGCAUGCUACAAUGGCCGGUACAAAGGGCUGCAAUACCGUGAGGUGGAGCGAAUCCCAAAAAGCCGGUCCCAGUUCGGAUUGAGGUUGCAACUCGACCUCAUGAAGUCGGAGUCGCUAGUAAUCGCAGAUC